rnacentral:rRNA from 1 species
UACGUAGGGACCGAGCGUUGUCCGGAAUCAUUGGGCGUAAAAGCGCGUGUGAGCGGCCACUUAAGUCCUGCGUGAAAUCUUGCGGCUCAACCGCAAGCGGUCGUGGGAAACUGGGUGGCUAGAGUGCGGGAGAGGAGAGUGGAAUUCCUGGUGUAGCGGUGGAAUGCGCAGAUAUCAGGAAGAACACCCGUGGCGAAGGCGGCUCUCUGGAACGCAACUGACGCUGAGACGCGAAAGCGUGGGGAGCAAACAGG